UAAGUACAUGAUGGGGACAGCAUGGCUUUGGGAUUCCCCCUUAACAGUCAUUUUCCCUGUGGAGAUCCUGGAAGCUGUGCCUAUGGAGUUAUUAUGAGAAAUAUUGGCUCUUACAGGUAGCAUGUGUUUAAGCCAAGGUGUCUCCUACACUUUCCUAGAUUGAGUCUAGUCUUUUUGCACCUGAGGUUCUCACGUAGUGAGGAUGUAACUCCUGGCCAGCCUUAUAAAUGCUUCAUGGACUGCUGCAAGGACCACUCCCUUAGAAGGGAAAGCCAGAUGCUGUCCUUGCGCCAGCUGUGAUUCCUGCUGUAUAUCUCUCUGAGUGUACUCAGUAUGAACAUGUUUUGUGAGUCUGAGUGUUUAGAAGAGCCUGACAGAGACAUCCUAGUGGGCGUUGCACCUGAUAGACUGACACUGCUGCCUUUUUACUUUUGAAAUGUGCUACACUGUCCUUCCAGUCCCUGUUUGCCUUUUUCCUGUCAUGAUCUUAAUUCACUCUAUUUUGCCUUCAUCUCUUCUAGUAUAUUCCUUUAUUCUGCCUGACACACUUUUCUCUUUUCACUUUUCCUUUCUCCACAGGCCUGACCCUUUCUACCUCACCUAUUUUAUCCUUCACUAUUGUUUCCUUAACCUCUUACUCUGGGGUUGACAGUUGUGUCUCUGAAACUGGGUCAUCCUGGCCAGAUUGACAGAAUGGGACAGGAAUCUAGAUGCAACUGACUCAGGGCCCACAUAUCAAGAUGUCAUGUUCCACUGGCUCUUCUCCAUCUAAUACCUUCCUGUAUUCAGGCUCCCCAUUUAUACAGUAUUGGAGGCUUCCCCAGGUCCAUCGCCUAGAAUACUUCAAGCCUUUCAAUUUUAACACACUGCUUGGAGAAGAAUGGAAACAACCAGAAUCAGACCUAUGGCUAAUGGAGAAACCUGACGUAUAGGAGUAUAGGAGAUAACCAUAUCAAUCAUUUUUUCUCUAUACCUUUUAAGGUAAACCAAUAAUAAGUAUGAAUCUCUUUUAAGACACCAUGUACACAUUUCAACAAGAAAUAUUUUCAUAGAAGUCACUGCAAAUAUAGUAUCUCUGUGGCAAAUUGUGUAUGAUUAACAAGAAAAUAAAAAGUUUGUAGAUGAUUUUAUCUAUAGAGUAAAAAUAUUUCUGAGA